GUACUGACUUUAGCAGCACAUCUGCUAAAACUGGAAUAAUACAGAGAUUAUCAUGGCGCCUGCACAAGAAUGACAUAAAUUCAUGAAGCAUCCCAUUUUUUU
ensembl:snRNA U6 U6 spliceosomal RNA